rnacentral:lncRNA from 1 species
AGAGACACUACAUUGGAGGCUCGGGGAAGGAAAAUAAACUGCAUAUUCUCAGUCUAGCAGCUUAGCGGUGUGUUUAAGAUGUUUUACCUAAAACACAUAACUAUUAAAUUACUUACUAUUUGAUUAUGUUGAUUUGGAGAUGGCCUAAAGAGUUGCAAAGCCUUUGAUUUUUGAGCCAUUCUCUCUAGUCCUUGUGCAAUGAGACUCACUUCUUCUCUUCUUAAUUUUUUUUGUCAUUGUAUUUUCCUAGUUUUGAAUCAAAGACCUUGUCUCUUAUUUAUCAGUAUAGCUUCCCAGCCAAAAUUCAUCAUUCAUUCUCUUUGGCUAUAUUUUACAUGGACUGGAAAAUAGUUUUAAAUGGUAGGAAAGUAAGUAUACACAAAACACAUUACAAUCUCUGUAAGAAUUUUUUAAAACUUAGGAGUAAUAUUAAAAUGUAAAAAUUAAGGUAUUAUUUCAUUUUCUUUAAACUAAACAAAGUAUGGAAAAUUAAAUUAGGAGCUAUGAUCCAGAAGAAUUUGACCAUCAUUGAUAAUCUAUUUAGGCUAGAAAUUUUGUAUCUUAUGACAUCAAAUAGGCAAGAGGAAAAAGAUGACAUUAAGUGAAUUUUGAAAAAAGGUCACUCAUGUAAUUACCAAUUAAUUAUAGUAGCUCACUGUAGCCAGGCAUGAAUCAAUCUGGGUAUCAAUGCUUGGCUAUUAGAAGCUAGUUUUCUUUGAAAUGAAGGAGGUAAGAGUGGAUGUUGAAAUGGUUAUUAGUAAAACCAAACAGGUAUAUACCCAUCACUUGAGGAUAUAGCCCAUUCUAGAGAGAUGUUUUUCACAUUGUAAUAAUUCUAAUUUAAAAAUACUCUGUGGUGAUGCUGGUAAGGGAAGAGGUUUGAGAAUGAGCUUCAUAGCAUCAUAAGCUGUUAUAUUUACCACCAUGGAAAGAACCAAAUUUCUGUAAGAAGCAACAGUCAUUUCAUGAUUAGCUCAUUUCAACCAUCUCUUGAAAAUUCCCCAGAUCAGUUAAAGUACAGCAAGGAAAACAGUUCAAAUACAUGAUGUUAAAUUGAAGUAUUCUCUAAGAAUGAAAGAGCCAGCUUAAAUGUGUGAGCAAAUAUCCAAUCUGUCUGGUUUCCCAAAUUCUACACCCAGAGGAACUGAAGUAAAGGUUCUAUUGAACCAUGGUGAGGCAAAGCUUGGAGAUAUUCUCCAUAUUUUAAACAAUAUGAGAGGACCAGCACCUUAAUUUCUGUGAACACUUUAUAAAUUACACUUAAUAUUAAGCUACUUCAAGCUACAAUUACUAUUUCAUUCAGUAGUUGAUCAGAAGUUUCAUAUAGUAAUUUGUAUAUAGUCAAUUAAAAAUGGGGAUAUCUAGGGCUAGAAAAAUGGUCAUAAUUAAUUUAUGGAUUUCUUCUUGUAGGAAACUGACAUAUAUUCUUGAGGAAAAGCCACAAAAAUUUUUUCUUUUGAAAAGUCUUAAUGUUAGUACCAUUCUCUCUUAAUAUCUUUAAGGAGUAAAUUCCAAGGUAAAACCAAUGUAUCUCAAAAUUUUAAAGAUGGCAGGAGGGAAGAUAGAUCAGGUCAUAAAGUGUUUGCUAUGCAAGCAUGAGGAUUUGAGUUCAAUUAUCAGAGCACACAUAAAAAGUUGAGUGUGGUGUUCUCUACCUGAACCCAAGAGCUGGUCAAGUGGAGAUAGAUAGAUAGAUCAAUAUCGAGAGCUUACUGUUCAGUUAACCUAGCCUAAUUGGGGAGUAUCAGGUCAGAAAGAGACUCUGUCUCAAAGCCAAGAUAUAAAGUGCCCAAGGAAUAAAAUACAAGAUGGAUUUCUAGCCUCCAUAUCUAUAUACUCCUUCACACAUAUGUUCCUGCACAUGUGCAUGUAUGCACAUAUGCACACACACACAAACACACAUACACACACCUCUAAAUUUACAAACGUUUAAGACAUAUAUAUAAAAUGCAUGCCAUUCACAUUCUGUGUAUGUAAAUCCUCUUGUAAAAUGUAAAUGAUCUCUAGAUCAAGUCUCAUACCUAAGGCAACACAAUUGCUAUGUAAAUAUCUAUUGCAUAUUACAUUGUUGAAAACAAUGCCAAGAAAAAGUAUGUACAUGUUCACAAUAGGUCUUUAUAAGACUAAUUUUGAUCAGAGGUGUUGAUUGAAUGCACAGAGGCACAGGCCACAGAUACAUAAGAGUUUGGUUUGGAUCUGUACCAGGGAGCUGAGGCUGUUCCACAGUCCUCUGUGCACAUGUACUGUCAGGAGAGAGCUGUUCUCCCAGGACUACUCUUACUCCUGGGCUUGGAGGUGAGAUAGCAAAUUUCUCUCCAAUAACUGUCUGGAGUGGGGCUGAGAAGGAGCAAAGAAGGCUCAGAAAAGUGGAGCAGCUGGGACUGGAUCCUUCCAGUUGCCAUCUGCACCCAGAUCAUGGCACUUUCCAGAGCUAUAUAUAUGUACACAAGUUCCUCCUGGAGAGAGCUGGCCACCC